CAUCACGUUGAAGCACAGGUUCCUGUACGAUCACGGAAGUUAAACAAGGUCGGGCCUAGUCAGUAAAUAGAUGGGUGACCGUUUGAGAAUACCAGGUGCUGUAA